rnacentral:rRNA from 1 species
UAGUCUUUUAAUUGAGGACUGGAAUGAAAGAGUAAACCGGUAGAAUUUUUUUUAGGCUAAGUAAAUGAAUUUUACUUUUUAGUAAGAAGGCUAAAAUGAUUCUUUUAGACGAGAAGACCCUAUAAAACUUUAUAUUUUUAGUUCAGAGAAGAAUUAAAAAGUAUUGCACUGGGGCGGUGGAAAAAUAGUCUUUUUUUGAAGGAGAGGGACGUACAUGUUAAAAUAUCUAGAAGUUCUAAAAAAGGAAUAAGUUACUUUAGGGAUAACAGCUUAAUUUACUUUGAAAGAUCAAAUUGACAAGUAAGUUUAUGACCUCGAUGUUGAAUUAAAAUACCUUUUUUGUGAAAAAGUUUGAAAAGGGGGUCUGUUCGA